UACGGAGGGUGCGAGCGUUGUCCGGAAUCACUGGGCGUAAAGGGCGCGUAGGUGGCUACUCAAGCGCGCGGUGAAAGCCCGGGGCUCAACCCCGGGUCGGCCGUGCGGACUGGGAGGCUCGAGCACUGUAGGGGCGGGUGGAAUUCCCGGUGUAGUGGUGAAAUGCGUAGAUAUCGAGAGGAACACCUGCGGCGAAGGCGGGUUGCUGGGCCGACACUGACGCUGAUGCGCGAAAGCCAGGGGAGCGAACGGG
rnacentral:rRNA from 1 species